AUUGAACGCUGGCGGCAUGCUUUACACAUGCAAGUCGAACGGUAACAGGCCGCAAGGUGCUGACGAGUGGCGAACGGGUGAGUAAUGCAUCGGAACGUGCCCAGUCGUGGGGGAUAACUACUCGAAAGAGUAGCUAAUACCGCAUACGAUCUAUGGAUGAAAGCGGGGGACCGUAAGGCCUCGCGCGAUUGGAGCGGCCGAUGUCAGAUUAGGUAGUUGGUGGGGUAAAGGCUCACCAAGCCAACGAUCUGUAGCUGGUCUGAGAGGACGACCAGCCACACUGGGACUGAGACACGGCCCAGACUCCUACGGGAGGCAGCAGUGGGGAAUUUUGGACAAUGGGCGCAAGCCUGAUCCAGCAAUGCCGCGUGCAGGAAGAAGGCCUUCGGGUUGUAAACUGCUUUUGUACGGAACGAAACGGCUCUGGUUAAUACCCGGGGCUACUGACGGUACCGUAAGAAUAAGCACCGGCUAACUACGUG
rnacentral:rRNA from 1 species